GACGACGCUGGCGGCGUGCUUAACACAUGCAAGUCGAACGGGAUCCUGGAUGCUUUUGUGUUUGGGUGAGAGUGGCGAACGGGUGAGUAACACGUGAGUAACCUGCCCCCUUCUUUUGGAUAACCGCAUGAAAGUGUGGCUAAUACGAGAUAAUCCAUUUGGGUCGCAUGGCCUGUUUGGGAAAUGCUUUGUUGUGGUGGGGGAUGGGCUCGCGGCCUAUCAGCUUGUUGGUGGGGUGAUGGCCUACCAAGGCGGUGACGGGUAGCCGGCCUGAGAGGGUGGGCGGUCACACUGGGACUGAGAUACGGCCCAGACUCCUACGGGAGGCAGCAGUGGGGGAUUUUGCACAAUGGGCGCAAGCUUGAUGCAGCGACGCCGCGUGAGGGAUGAGGGCCUUCGGGUUGUAAACCUCUUUCGCUGGGUUGAAAGGCCAUGCUUUGAGUGUGGUUGAUUUGAACUGGUAAAGAAGUACCGGCUAACUACGUG
rnacentral:rRNA from 1 species